rnacentral:piRNA from 1 species
UGCAAAACUCUAGAGAGACAUCGAGGCCCC